UGCAGGUAUCAGGAUGAACAAAACCUAAUUCAUGAUGUGGUGAUACUUGAACUACUACUUAGAUUUUACAUUUAUUUUCAGGGUUCCCAGGCGUGAUUGGCUGUAUAGAUGGCACUCACAUUCCAAUCAUUGCUCCUUCAGUAAAUGAAGGAGACUAUGUGAACAGGAAGUCUUUCCACAGCAUUAAUGUACAGAUCACAUGUGAUGCUGCCAACAUUAUCACAAAUGUGGAAGCCAAGUGGCCAGGCUCUGUUCAUGACUCACGAAUUUUCCGUGAAUGUACACUGAGCACAAAAUUUGGACAUGGAGAGUUCACUGGCUACUUGCUUGGUGAUAGGGGGUAUCCAUGUUUACCCUAUUUGCUUACC